UACGAAGGGGGCUAGCGUUGCUCGGAAUCACUGGGCGUAAAGGGUGCGUAGGCGGGUUUUUAAGUCAGGAGGUGAAAUCCUGGAGCUCAACUCCAGAACUGCCUUUGAUACUGAAAGUCUUGAGUAUGGGAGAGGUGAGUGGAACUGCGAGUGUAGAGGUGAAAUUCGUAGAUAUUCGCAAGAACACCAGUGGCGAAGGCGGCUCACUGGCCCAUAACGUGACGGCUGAGGCACGAAAGCGUGGGGAGCAAACAGG
rnacentral:rRNA from 1 species